AUUGAACGCUGGCGGCAGGCUUAACACAUGCAAGUCGAGCGGAGCGAGGGUGCUUGCACCUUAGCUUAGCGGCGGACGGGUGAGUAAUGCUUAGGAAUCUGCCUAUUAGUGGGGGACAACAUUCCGAAAGGAAUGCUAAUACCGCAUACGCCCUACGGGGGAAAGCAGGGGAUCUUCGGCCCUUGCGCUAAUAGAUGAGCGUAAGUCGGAUUAGCUAGCUGGUGGGGUAAAGGCCGACCAAGGCGACGAUCUGUAGCGGGUCUUAGAGGAUGAUCCGCCACACUGGGACUGAGCCACGGCCCAGACUACUACGGGAGGCAGCGGUGGGGAAUAUUAGCAAAUGGGCUGAAGCAGGAACCAGCCAUGCCGCGUGUGUGAAGAAGGGCUUUUGGUUGUAAAGCACUUUAGGCGAGGAGGAGGCUCUUAAGGUUAGUACCCUUGAUGAGUGGACGUUACUCGCAGAAUAAGCACCGGCUAACUCUGUGCCAGCAGCCGCCGUAAGAC
rnacentral:rRNA from 1 species